CUUGGUCAUUUAGAGGAAGUAAAAGUCGUAACAAGGUUUCCGUAGGUGAACCUGCGGAAGGAUCAUUACAGAGAUCAUGCCCUUCGGGGUAGACCUCCCACCCUUUGUUAUACCAACGAAUGUUGCUUUGGCGAGCCGCCCUAGGCCGUCGGCCUCGGCUGACGCGUGCUCGCCAGAGACCCCAAACUCUGUAUUAGUGUCGUCUGAGUACUAUAUAAUAGUUAAAACUUUCAACAACGGAUCUCUUGGUUCUGGCAUCGAUGAAGAACGCAGCGAAAUGCGAUAAGUAAUGUGAAUUGCAGAAUUCAGUGAAUCAUCGAAUCUUUGAACGCACAUUGCGCCCCUUGGUAUUCCGGGGGGCAUGCCUGUUCGAGCGUCAUUAUGACCAAUCAAGCUCAGCUUGGUGUUGGGGUUCGCGGUCCCGCGGCUCUUAAAAUCAGUGGCGGUGCCGCCCGGCUCUAAGCGUAGUAAUUUUCUCGCUAUGGGGUCCGGGUGGUCUCCUCCAGAACUCCCCCAAUCUUACGGUUGACCUCGGAUCAGGUAGGGAUACCCGCUGAACUUAAGCAUAUCAAUAAGCGGAGGA
rnacentral:rRNA from 1 species